UUCGCCCUUAGAGUUUGAUCCGGCUCAGGACGAACGCUGGCGGCGCGCCUAACACAUGCAAGUCGAACGAGCGAGAGAGAGCUUGCUUUCUUGAGCGAGUGGCGAACGGGUGAGUAACGCGUGAGGAACCUGCCUCAAAGAGGGGGACAACAGUUGGAAACGACUGCUAAUACCGCAUAAGCCCACGACCCGGCAUCGGGUUGAGGGAAAAGGAGCGAUCCGCUUUGAGAUGGCCUCGCGUCCGAUUAGCUAGUUGGUGAGGUAAUGGCCCACCAAGGCAACGAUCGGUAGCCGGACUGAGAGGUUGAACGGCCACAUUGGGACUGAGACACGGCCCAGACUCCUACGGGAGGCAGCAGUGGGGAAUAUUGCACAAUGGGGGAAACCCUGAUGCAGCGACGCCGCGUGGAGGAAGAAGGUCUUCGGAUUGUAAACUCCUGUUGUUGAGGAAGAUAAUGACGGUACUCAACAAGGAAGUGACGGCUAACUACGUGCCAGCAGCCGCGGUAAAACGUAGGUCACAGGCGUUGUCCGGAAUUACUGGGUGUAAAGGGAGCGCAGGCGGGAAGACAAGUUGGAAGUGAAAUCCAUGGGCUCAACCCAUGAACUGCUUUCAAAACUGUUUUUCUUGAGUAGUGCAGAGGUAGGCGGAAUUCCCGGUGUAGCGGUGGAAUGCGUAGAUAUCGGGAGGAACACCAGUGGCGAAGGCGGCCUACUGGGCACCAACUGACGCUGAGGCUCGAAAGUGUGGGUAGCAAACAGGAUUAGAUACCCUGGUAGUCCACACCGUAAACGAUGAUUACUAGGUGUUGGAGGAUUGACCCCUUCAGUGCCGCAAUUAACACAAAAGUAAUCCCCCUGGGGAGUACGACCGCAAGGAUUAAAUCUUCAAAAGAAAUUGACGGGGGCCCGCACAAGCAGUGGAGUAUGUGGUUUAAUUCGACGCAACGCGAAGAACCUUACCAAGUCUUGACAUCCCUUGACGAUGCGGGAAACAGUAUUUCUCUUCGGAGCAAGGAGACAGGUGGUGCAUGGUUGUCGUCAGCUCGUGUCGUGAGAUGUUGGGUUAAGUCCCGCAACGAGCGCAACCCUUAUGGUCAGUUACUACGCAAGAGGACUCUGGCCAGACUGCCGUUGACAAAACGGAGGAAGGUGGGGAUGACGUCAAAUCAUCAUGCCCUUUAUGACUUGGGCUACACACGUACUACAAUGGCGUUAAACAAAGAGAAGCAAGACCGCGAGGUGGAGCAAAACUCAGAAACAACGUCCCAGUUCGGACUGCAGGCUGCAACUCGCCUGCACGAAGUCGGAAUUGCUAGUAAUCGUGGAUCAGCAUGCCACGGUGAAUACGUUCCCGGGCCUUGUACACACCGCCCGUCA
rnacentral:rRNA from 1 species